UUUAAGUGGGAGGGAAUGGAAUGGUUAGGAGGGAAUGCUCAUUCCUCCCUUUUCCCUCCAAACCUCAAAUUUUUGUUCCCCUCAAAAUUGGGAGGAAUGGGAGGGAAUGGGUUUAGGUUUAAUGAAAUUUUUGUUAAAACCCCUAAAUACCCCUUUAAUAUCAACCAUUCUUUUCUCAAUCAGCCGUAAGAAAAAAAACAUAGCUACACGUUAUUGCGUAUUUGCUACAAAGUGAAGCUAUUGCUGUUUCGUGAGACACCAUUGAAGCUACUGCUGUUUAUUCUUUGACUGCUGCAAGUUUUGGUUACUGCUCACAAUAUGGGUAAGAUAU